UCUCUGGUAGUGCAAUUUGGAAGCAUUUCCGCUCGUCUGAGAACGGUGCGCGGGAGAUCCAGGUUCAAGUCCUUGGCCGGAGAG